rnacentral:rRNA from 1 species
UACGUAGGGGGCAAGCGUUGUCCGGAUUUAUUGGGCGUAAAGAGCGUGUAGGCGGCCAGACAGGUCCGUUGUGAAAACUCGAGGCUCAACCUCGAGACGCCGAUGGAAACCGUCUGGCUAGAGUCCGGAAGAGGAGAGUGGAAUUCCUGGUGUAGCGGUGAAAUGCGCAGAUAUCAGGAAGAACACCCGUGGCUAAGGCGGCUCUCUAGUACGGUACUGACGCUGAGACGCGAAAGCAUGGGGAGCGAACAGG